UGUCGAAUCCUGUUGUUCCUUGCUGAGUUCAUUUCGUUUUCUGCCGAGUCACGAUACUGAAUUCAUGCUCUGUUUCGCUGAGUUUCGAGUAGUCCUGGUUCGAGUCUUGAGUUGUUGAUGCGUUUGAUUUUGCUGUGUAUUGGCUGAGUUUUGGGUCCGCUUUGCUAGUGAAUUUUUGUUUAGAUAGAGUUCUUUGUUUCCGAGUCUGCAGGCUGUUUCUGCAUUUUGUUUUAGAGUCGCUUUCACUGUUCCUUUAGCUAGUCGAA
rnacentral:lncRNA from 1 species